rnacentral:tRNA from 1 species
UAAGAAUGAAGCGAUAUAUUUGCAAUCAGUUUCGACCUGACUCUAGGACUCCCUUUCUUAU